AUUAUAAUUGUGUCUCGACCCCAUAAAGUAUAUAUAUUAUAUAUAUAGUAUAUGUAUAUAUAUUCUGGAUCAGUAUCACCAGCCGAGUCGAUAUAGCGAUGUCCGUUUGUCCGUUUCUAUGCGAACUAGUCUCUCAGUUUUAAAACUAUCGUCAUGAAACUUUCCAGACGUCCUUCCUUCUGGUGCAACACCAGAACAUUUGUCGGAACCGGCUGGAUCAGACAACUAUAUCAUAUAGCCAUAGAGACGAUUGGUAGAAAAGUAGGCUCUUGGCAAAUGGAAAAGAUAACCUUUGCAAUAUUUGGAAUGUGCCUUUGCGUUGAGUUUAAAUGUGCUUCGCAGAUCUGACUUCAAUAUAUGUUAUUGGAUAAAAUAUUGAUCUGACUUUGAUAAUACUUUUUCUUUAUUAAUAUUUUUAUUGAAUUUGUGUUUUAUACAUUUUAUUUUAUAUUUUUUUGUUGCUUGAUUUUUGUUUUAGGUAUAAUAUAUAUUUAUUCUCCCGCAUAUCCUUUUCAUGAUACAAUUCUCCCACAAAUACAGUAUUUUUUUGCUUGUAAAUAUGAUAUACAAUAAAAAUGUCUAUACAAUUAAGGAUACAAAAGUGGUUAAAUUAAGGCUUAGAGUACAAAUUAUGUCUUCCAGUAAUUAAUAAUAGCAAGAGUUUUUUGUUUUAGAUAGAUAGAUAAAGAUAAAGUACAAAUCAUAGUAGGAGUAAUGAUAGUAUUAGCGUACAUCGUACAUUAAUCGUACAAUUAAAAAAUCACUUGAACUUAGACUAUGCAGCAAAAGCA